GCCUGGCUGGCUCAGUCGGUAGAGCAUGAGACUCUUGAUCUCAGGGUUGUGAGUUUGAGUCCCAUGUUGGGUA
rnacentral:tRNA from 2 species